rnacentral:tRNA from 16 species
GUCUCCGUGGCACAACUGGUUAGCGCGUCAGACUGUUAAUCUGGAGGUUCACAGUUCGAUCCUGUGCGGGGACG